rnacentral:rRNA from 1 species
CAGUUAUCGUUUAUUUGAUAGUACCUUACUACAUGGAUAACCGUGGUAAUUCUAGAGCUAAUACAUGCUGAAAAUCCCGACUUCGGAAGGGAUGUAUUUAUUAGAUUAAAAACCAAUGCCCUUCGGGGCUCUCUGGUGAUUCAUAAUAACUUCUCGAAUCGCACGGCCUUGCGCCGGCGAUGGUUCAUUCAAAUUUCUGCCCUAUCAACUUUCGACGGCUGGGUCUUGGCCAGCCGUGGUGACAACGGGUAACGGAGGGUUAGGGCUCGACCCCGGAGAAGGAGCCUGAGAAACGGCUACUACAUCCAAGGAAGGCAGCAGGCGCGCAAAUUACCCAAUCCCGACACGGGGAGGUAGUGACAAUAAAUACUGAUACAGGGCUCUUUCGGGUCUUGUAAUUGGAAUGAGUACAAUUUAAAUCCCUUAACGAGGAACAAUUGGAGGGCAAGUCUGGUGCCAGCAGCCGCGGUAAUUCCAGCUCCAAUAGCGUAUAUUAAAGUUGUUGAGGUUAAAAAGCUCGUAGUUGAACCUUGGGCCUAGCCGGCCGGUCCGCCUCACCGCGUGCACUGGCUCGGCUGGGUCUUUCCUUCUGGAGAACCGCAUGCCCUUCACUGGGUGUGCCGGGGAACCAGGACUUUUACUCUGAACAAAUUAGAUCGCUUAAAGAAGGCCUAUGCUCGAAUACAUUAGCAUGGAAUAAUAGAAUAGGACGUGUGGUUCUAUUUUGUUGGUUUCUAGGACCGCCGUAAUGAUUAAUAGGGACAGUCGGGGGCAUCAGUAUUCAAUUGUCAGAGGUGAAAUUCUUGGAUUUAUUGAAGACUAACUACUGCGAAAGCAUUUGCCAAGGAUGUUUUCAUUAAUCAGGAACGAAAGUUAGGGGAUCGAAGACGAUCAGAUACCGUCGUAGUCUUAACCAUAAACUAUGCCGAUUAGGGAUCGGACGGCGUUAUUUUUUGACCCGUUCGGCACCUUACGAUAAAUCAAAAUGUUUGGGCUCCUGGGGGAGUAUGGUCGCAAGGCUGA